UACGUAGGUGGCAAGCGUUGUCCGGAUUUAUUGGGUUUAAAGGGUGCGUAGGUGGCCCUGUAAGUCAGUGGUGAAAUAUCACAGCUUAACUGAGAGGGUGCCAUUGAUACUGCAGGGCUUGAGUACAGAUGAGGUAGGCGGAAUUGACGGUGUAGCGGUGAAAUGCAUAGAUAUCGUCAAGAACACCGAUAGCGAAGGCAGCUUACCAAGCUGUAACUGACACUGAGGCACGAAAGUGUGGGGAUCAAACAGG
rnacentral:rRNA from 1 species